UACGUAGGGUGCAAGCGUUGUCCGGAAUUAUUGGGCGUAAAGAGCUCGUAGGCGGUCUGUCACGUCGGCUGUGAAAUCCCGAGGCUCAACCUCGGGUCUGCAGUCGAUACGGGCAAACUAGAGUAUUGCAGGGGAGACUGGAAUUCCUGGUGCAGCGGUGAAAUGCGCAGAUAUCAGGAGGAACACCGGUGGCGAAGGCGGGUCUCUGGGCAAUAACUGACGCUGGAGGAGCGAAAGCGUGGGGGAGCGAACAGG
rnacentral:rRNA from 1 species